GCAUAUCAAUAAGCGGAGGAAAAGAAACUAACAAGGAUUCCCCUAGUAACGGCGAGUGAAGCGGGAAGAGCUCAAAUUUGUAAUCUGGCACUUUCAGUGUCCGAGUUGUAAUCUCGAGAAGUAUUUUCCGCGCCGGACCGCAUACAAGUCUGUUGGAAUACAGCGUCAUAGUGGUGAGAACCCCGUAACUGAUGCGGAUGCCCGGUGCUUUGUGAUAUACUUUCGAAGAGUCGAGUUGUUUGGGAAUGCAGCUCAAAUUGGGUGGUAAAUUCCAUCUAAAGCUAAAUAUUGGAGCAAGACCGAUAGCGAACAAGUACCGUGAGGGAAAGAUGAAAAGCACUUUGGAAAGAGAGUUAACAGUACGUGAAAUUGUUGGAAGGGAAACGCUUGAAGUCAGACUUGCUAUUCGGAGUUCAGCCGCAAGGUGUAUUCUUCGAUUCGCAGGCCAGCAUCAGUUUUCGGGGGUGGAAAAUCGCGGUUUGAAGGUAGCAACUUCGGUUGUGUUAUAGCUUUCCGCUGGAUUCAUCCUUGGGGACUGAGGAACGCAGUACGCUUUUUGCAAGGCUCUCGAGCUUUUCGUACUUAGGAUGCUGGUGGAAUGGCUUUAAACGACCCGUCUUGAAACACGGACCA
rnacentral:rRNA from 1 species